CGGGAAGAUACAACGCCAAGGCGCUGCGGGUCUUCAAGCUGAGAGGAGAUGUUAAAACCAGCUUGACUGGCUCGACUCUCUCAUUGGCUGCAAGCUCUAAAAGCAUUCUUUAUCUCUAUUAUUUAUUCAUAAGGAUGUUACACGCAGCAUUAGGUAUUUCAGGAAUUAAUACCAGUACAGCUAUAUUCUGAAAAUAUCUGAGUCAGCAUUCGAUUUUGUGGUCUAGUCAAGCAAUG